UAGGGAAUUUUCGUCAAUGGGGGAACCCUGAACGAGCAAUGCCGCGUGUGUGAAGAAGGUCUUCGGAUCGUAAAGCACUGUUGUAAGUGAAGAAUGCCGCAUAGAGGAAAUGCUAUGUGGGUGACGGUAGCUUACCAGAAAGCCACGGCUAACUACGUGCCAGCAGCCGCGGUAAUACGUAGGUGGCAAGCGUUAUCCGGAAUCAUUGGGCGUAAAGGGUGCGUAGGUGGCACGAUAAGUCUGAAGUAAAAGGCAACAGCUCAACUGUUGUAUGCUUUGGAAACUGUCGAGCUAGAGUGCAGAAGAGGGCGAUGGAAUUCCAUGUGUAGCGGUAAAAUGCGUAGAUAUAUGGAGGAACACCAGUGGCGAAGGCGGUCGCCUGGUCUGUAACUGACACUGAUGCACGAAAGCGUGGGGAGCAAAUAGAUUAGAUACC
rnacentral:rRNA from 1 species